GCAGCAUACCUGCUCUUUUGCUUUGUGGUGCUGCGCUGUUGCCCGCAGGUCGCCGUCCCCACAGCCCUCCCGGGGGGAGGCAGGGGUGGCGAAUGUCCGCAUUGCCCGAGCUGCCAAGGGCAACAGCUGCAGUUUACCAGUGUUGAAUUUUGGAGAGAGCUAAACCAGGGAUGUCCGCACCCCAGCGGUUUUACCUUCUUGCCUUCAGGAGAUGUUGACAGAUGCCCUGAGAAACAGCAGAACUGGAUACCUGCGGAGUAAUUACCCCAGGCAGCAUCUCCGAAUAGGAAAAGAGCUCAGAGGAGAGCACGCUCUUACGCAUCCGCAAGACGACGUGACAUUUUGCAGUGGUUUUCGUCGCUGUUAGAAAUGC